rnacentral:rRNA from 1 species
CCUACGGGAGGCUGCAGUGGGGAAUAUUGGACAAUGGGGGGAACCCUGAUCCAGCCAUGCCGCGUGUGUGAAGAAGGCCCUCGGGUUGUAAAGCACUUUCAGUGAGGAAGAACGCCUGGUGGUUAAUACCCAUCAGGAAAGACAUCACUCACAGAAGAAGCACCGGCUAACUCCGUGCCAGCAGCCGCGGUAAUACGGAGGGUGCGAGCGUUAAUCGGAAUUACUGGGCGUAAAGCGCGCGUAGGUGGCUUGAUAAGCCGGUUGUGAAAGCCCCGGGCUCAACCUGGGAACGGCAUCCGGAACUGUCAAGCUAGAGUGCAGGAGAGGAAGGUAGAAUUCCCGGUGUAGCGGUGAAAUGCGUAGAGAUCGGGAGGAAUACCAGUGGCGAAGGCGGCCUUCUGGACUGACACUGACACUGAGGUGCGAAGGCGUGGGUAGCAAACAGGAUUAGAUACCCGAGUAGUC